rnacentral:lncRNA from 1 species
CAUUGAGUAGCAAUACAAGCAUAUAUUCUCCCAAACUUGCUUAAGUGUUCUUAUCUUGCUUAAGUGUUCUUAUUGUGUUCUUACUCUUGCGAUUGUUCUUUGCUUGUUUCGAUCUUAUAUUGUAGGAAGGAGGCUGACUUAGCUUGUUCGAGAGGCGAUCAAGUCUAAGGCCGCACGGAAGGAAGACUCCGAAAAAGUCAUCCCGUGACAGUUGGUAUCAGAGCGAAAGCUCGAAUCAUUCAAAGAAGCAUGUCGAAGAGCGGAUCAGAUGUGGAGAUAUACCUGUCCAAGGUCAACGUGGAUCGUGGGGGCAAAUCAAAGAGGGAACGAUCUAGAGAUGUGGUGGCCAUAAUGGAGAAGCGGCUUUCUAAGAUGGAGAUUGCCGUGGUCGAGUUCGAUCAACGACUUGAGGAGGACGUCCUUACGAAGGGGGGCUUCGAAGAUGCAGUGGAUGAGCUUCAAGGCCAAUUCCAGGGAGUCCUCAACUCCGCGCUAGAUGGCAUCAAGCUAGAUGUUCAAACCAAGCUGGAUCACUUCUUAGCGGAGCUUACUUCGCUUCGUGAUGAGAUGAAGGAUGUGAAGGGAGAUUGGGCUUUGUGCAAGGAAGCUGUCUUGAACAAGACCCGAACUCCGAAGGAACCCAAGGUGCUAGAUUCUUUCAAGCCCAAAUCCUAUAAUGGGAAGAGGGAGGCGAAGGAGCUGGACACUUUCUUGUGGAAUAUCGAAAGAUAUUUCAAGUAUCUAAAGCUCGAGGAUGAUGAGCCCAAGAUCAAUGCGGCAACAUUGUUUCUCACCGACCAUGCUCUCAUGUGGUGGCGUCGUCGAUCUAUGGAGAUCGAACAAGGUACGUUUACACUUAAGACUUGGGACAAUUUUAAGAAGGAUAUUAUGUUGCAUUUCUAUCCAGAGAAUGCCAAGUAUGAGGCAAAGGAGAAGCUAAGAUGGCUGAAGCAAACUGGGAGCGUGAAAGACUAUGUCGCCACGUUCACCAACCUGUUGUUCGAGGUGCCUAGUAUGACAGAUGAAGACAAGCUCAUGUACUUCAUGAGUGGCCUACAGAAUUGGGCCAAGCUGGAGUUACAACGGAGACAUGUCCAAACCUUGUCAGAGGCAAUUGCUGCAGCAGAGUCUCUUGUUGAGUUCAAGAGGGAUAGUCAAGGCGACUCCAAGUUCAAAGGAAAGAAAGGUGACAGUGGAUCCGGUGGGGGAGAGAACAAGCCAAAAGAGGGUAGCAAGUCAGGAGACAAGUCUGACGGUCACAAGUCAUCCUGGAGGAAGAAUGACAAAGGUGAUAAGGGGAAAGACAAGUCGAAGCUAGCUUGCUACUUGUGCGAGGGACCGCACAUGAUGCGGGAUUGUCCGAAGAAGAAAGCUCUAAAUGCUAUGAACCAAGAGAAGGGAGAGGAGGCCGAGAGGGAAGCAGGAAUGGGGGCCAUUCGCCGCUUCAAUGCCUUGCAGGCCAAAGCAGCUCAACCACAAGUUCAAGCCAAAGGAGUGAUGUUCGUUGAUGCCAUGGUGAAUGGCAAGACAACCCGUUGCCUGGUGGAUACAGGUGCUUCGCACAACUUUAUGUCCGUGCAGGAAGCAAAGAGGCUUGGGUGUCGAGUCUCGAAGGAAGCAGGCAGUAUGAAGACGGUGAAUUCAACUGCCAAGCCCAUUGAUGGAGUAGCUCGUGGUGUGGAGCUACACCUUGCCACUUGGAAGGGAGUGGCUGACUUCUCCGUGAUCUCGAUGGAUGACUACGAUGUCGUGCUAGGAAUGGAGUUCAUGGACAAGGUAAAGGCAUUUCCCAUUCCAUUUUACAAUACUAUGUGCAUUGCACAAGGUGGAACAAUGCCAUGCAUGGUGCCAGUAGUAAGGCAACAAAGCGAGACGAAGCUUUUGUCGGCCAUGCAAUUUUCCAAGUCUUGGAAGAAGGGCGAACCGACGUUCCUUGCAACUAUGCAGAUGGAUAUAGUUGAGAAGGAAGUCCAACCAGUCCCGAAAGCUGUGGAGGCAAUCCUUAAGGAGUUUGCAGAUAUCAUGCCCAAGGAGUUGCCCAAAACCUUACCACCUAGGAGAGAGGUGGAUCAUGCCAUUGAGCUGGAACCGGGUGCCAAACCCCCAGCCAAAGCGUCAUACCGGAUGGCACCUCCUGAGUUGGAGGAAUUAAGGAAGCAGUUGAAGCAGUUGUUGGACGCUGGGUACAUCCAACCAUCCAAGGCCCCUUAUGGUGCCCCAGUUCUUUUCCAGAAGAAGAGGGAGGGAACACUGAAGUUGUGCAUCGACUACAGGGCACUAAACAAGGUGACCAUCAAAAACAAGUAUCCAAUCCCUUUGAUUGCAGAUUUGUUUGAUCAGUUGGGAGGAGCGAAGUACUUCACCAAGUUGGACUUGCGCUCGGGAUACUAUCAAGUGAGGAUCGCACCGGGAGAUGAAUCAAAGACCACAUGUGUGACGAGAUAUGGGUCUUACGAGUUCCUUGUCAUGCUGUUCGGCUUGACUAACGCCCCUGCAACAUUUUGCACUCUUAUGAACAAGGUAUUCCAUCCUUUCUUGGACAAGUUUGUUGUAGUUUACAUCGAUGAUAUUGUGGUGUACAGCAAUUCUCUAGAGGAACACCUUGAGCAUUUGCAGAAGGUCUUCCAAGUUCUAAGGGAGAACCAGCUCUAUGUGAAGAAGGAGAAAUGCUCAUUUGUCCAAGAAGAGGUUGAGUUCCUUGGUCACAAGAUACGGGGAGGACAAUUGCUCAUGGAGGAGGGCAAGGUGCAAGCCAUUCAAGAAUGGGAACCACCAAUCAAAGUACCUGAGUUGCGGUCUUUCCUUGGAUUGGUGAACUACUAUCGCAGGUUCAUCAAGGGAUAUUCAGCCAUAGCCGCUCCCCUGACGGAUUUGCUAAAGAAGAACAAGACGUGGGAAUAGACACCCCGAUGCCAACAUGCCUUCGAUGAGUUGAAGAGGGCUCUUAUGGAAGAACCAGUGCUGAGACUUCCGGACCUUAGCAAACCCUUCGAGGUACACACUGAUGCAUCAGAUUUUGCUAUUGGUGGUGUACUCAUGCAGGAUGGACACCCAUUGGCUUUCGAGAGUCGGAAGCUCAAUGACACGGAGCGGAGGUAUACCGUUCAAGAGAAGGAGAUGACAGCCGUAGUGCACUGCUUGCGGACUUGGAGGCACUACUUACUUGGUUCUCAGUUCGUGGUCAGGACUGACAAUAUUGCCACAAGCUACUUUCAGUCCCAACAGAAGUUGUCACCCAAGCAGGCUAGGUGGCAAGACUUCUUGGCGGAGUUCGACUACAAACUGGAGUACAAGCAAGGGAAGACAAAUGUCGUUGUCGAUGCCUUAAGUAGGAAGGCCAUACUAGCAGCUGUCACGCAACCCCAGAGUUCUCUCAUGCAGAGAAUACGAGAGGGCUUGUUGCAUGAUCCCCAAGCCAAAAGUCUGUUGGAGCUUGUCAAAGAUGGGAAGAUAAGGAGAUUUUGGCUCGAUGAUGGGGUUCUCUAUGCAACAGGGAAGAGGAUCUAUGUUCCAAGGUGAGACAAUCUGAGGCGAGAACUAAUGAAAGAGUGUCAUGACUCGAAGUGGGCGGGACAUCCGGGCACUCAUCGGACAUUAGCCUUGAUGAGUGAAGCUUACUAUUGGCCACAGAUGCGAGAAGAUGUAGACUCGUUCGUGCGGACUUGCCUUGUAUGCCAACAAGACAAGACAUUGCAGAAGCAGCCGGGUGGGUUGCUAGAGCCACUUCCUGUUCUAACCAGACCAUGGGAGAGUUUGUCCAUGGACUUCAUUGUGAGUCUACCCAAGUCAGAAGGGUGUGGCUCAAUUUUGGUGGUGGUUGACAGGUUCACCAAGUAUGCUACCUUCAUCCCCGCAUCGACAGAGUGCAAUGCAGAGGAAGCUGCACGCUUGUUUAUGAAGCAUGUGGUGAAGUACUGGGGGAUCCCCAAGAGUAUUAUCAGUGACCGUGACGGUCGCUUCACUGGUAAACUUUGGACGGAGCUCUUCAAGCUACUUGGCUCACAGUUGAACUUCUCUACCAGCUUUCACCCACAAACAGACGGUCAGACAGAGAGGGUGAAUGCACUGUUGGAGCUAUACUUGAGGCAUUAUGUGAGUGCCAACCAGCGAGAUUGGGCAAAGUUGUUGGAUAUUGCUCAGUUCUCAUACAACUUGCAGCGGUCGGAGUCGACAGGGUCAAGUCCUUUUGAGUUGGCAACAGGACAACAACCCAUAACACCGAACACAGUGGUGUCAGGCUACACGGGGAGUAGCCCUGCUGCAUACAAAACGGCCAAGGAGUGGCAGGUGACUAAUGAGCUGGCUCGGGCUCAAUUGGAAAAGGCAACUCGGAAGAUGAAGAAAUGGGCAGACAAGCAUCGACGGGACGUUGUGUUCCAACCAGGUGAUCAGGUCUUUGUAAAGCUCAACCCUUCUCAACACAAGUCCACUAGAAGAUUGCACAAAGCAUUAUUGAGGAGAUAUGAGGGUCCAUUUCCCAUCAUCCGAUCAGUGGGAAGAGCUGCUUACCGUGUGGAACUACCACCUCGACUGAAGAUUCAUCCGGUGUUCCACGUAAGCAAUCUCAAGCCCUACCAUGCUGACCCCGAGGAGCCAAGUCGUGGAGAAUCUCAACGAGCUCCACCUUUGAUGGUGACUUCAUUUGACAAGGAGGUUGAGUGCGUCAUGGCCAAGCGAGAGGUACGACGCAAGGGUGUACCGAGGUACUUUGAGUACUUUGUCAAAUGGAAGGGCCUGCCAGAGUCCGAAGGCAAUUGGGAGAAAGAAGAGUCCUUGUGGAACUACAAGGACAGUAUUGAAGCAUUCGAACGAGACGGAUCUACCACGGCAACGAGGACGUUGCCGGAUUAGGUGGGGGAGAAUGUCACGGCCCGCAUGUUCAAGGCCCAUGUUCAAGGCCCAGCCCGUUGGAUUGAUCAUGCUAGACCUCUUAGCCCACUUGUCCACCUACUAGAAUAGUAUAUAAGAAUGGUAGGUGGGAAUGGUAGGUGAGAAUGUUAGGUGAGAAUGUUAGGUGGGAAUGGUUGGUGGGAUGGGGCCCGCAUCUUUGCCACCUACCAUGGUAGGAAUGUGUAUAUAAGGAGGAUCUCACAUUGUGAAUCCUCACCUCACAACUUGUAAAGCAUUGAGUAGCAAUACAAGCAUAUAUUCUCCUAAACUUGCUUAAGUGUUCUUAUCUUGCUUAAGUGUUCUUAUUGUGUUCUUGCUCUUGCGAUUGUUCUUUGCUUGUUUCGAUCUUAUAUUGUAGGAAGGAGGCUGACUUAGCUUGUUCGAGAGGCGAUCAAGUCUAAGGCCGCACGGAAGGAAGACUCCGAAAAAGUCAUCCCGUGACACUGGGACCAUCUAUAUAUAUGCAUCACUUGAAAGCCUUGCCCAUCAAGGAGCUGUCAAGUGUUCCUAGUUGCAUUAGGAUUAGGUUGUUCAAUCCAUAUAGAAUUAGGAAUUCCAUUGUCUCUUGUAUUUCAAUUAGGAUAGCUUUUAUACAAGGAUAAUCUGAUUAGUUUGAGUAUAUCUCUAAACAUGCAAAACUCUAGAAUCCCUACAUGAUUAGAAGACCACAAUUUCGUGGUUAAGACAAUAAUUUGUCUUACAUUCUCCCAGUUUCAUCAAACCUUCCAUAAUAUUCUCCACCCCUAUCUGAACGAACUACUUUGAUUUUGAGGUUCAAUUGAUUUUCUACUUCAGCUUUGUAUAUUUUGAACAUAUCUAAAGCACUUGAUUUUUCUUUUGUGAGAUAAACAUGUCCAAAUCUUGAAAAAUUGUCUGUGAAAGUUAUGAAGUAGGUGAACCCUUCAUGAGUUGGAUUAGGAAAGGGACCACAGAUAUCUGUGUGAAUGAGUUCCAAAACACCUUUGCUUCCUAUGGCUCCCUUUUUUCUUAAAUUUGUCAAUUUCCCUUUGACACAUUCAAUGCAUAUUUCAUUUUGACUGUCAUGAUUCAUUGGUGGCAAGAUCGAUUCUUUGCAUAGUUGAUUAAUCCUUUCUCUUGAGAUAUGACCAAGUCUUUUAUGCCACAAUUCAUAGGAGACUCCAUUACUAGUUUUGGUUUGCACAGUGUUAACUUCAAAAUCUGUUCUUUUGCAAUUUAAUUGAAACAUUCCAUCAACAAGUCUUGCUUUGCCAAUCAACUCUUUAUUCUUGAAAAUAGAACAACCAGUGCCAUCAAAAUUCAAAUUAAAUUUUGAUUGUACAAGUCUAGUAACUGAAAUUAAACUCUUCUUCAUAGAAAGAAUGUAAACUACUUCAUCUAACUCCAAAAUAAAACCAAAAUCUAAUUCAAUCCUAACUGUUCCUAUGAACUCUACUUGAACUUUUUCUCCAUUGCCAACGAACACCUUCACUUCAUCCUUGCUUGGCAAUCUCCUCCUUAUGAAUCCCUGCAAAGAAUUAGCUACAUGAAUUGAAGCACCACUGUCUAGCCACCAUGAAUCAUGAGAGAAAUCAACCAAAUUUGAUUCAAAACAAACUAGAAUCUGUUCAGAGUUACCUUUAGUUUUCUGCUUGUCUAGCCACUUUUUGUAUUUUCUGCAUUCUUUCUUCAUGUGCCCUGGUUUCUUACAGAAGAAACACUUCAUUCCAGUUGAUGGUUUUAGAUACUUUUCAGUGCUGCUGCCUUUUCCAGUCAUUGCAUUGUGUCUAUUUUCCUUUUUCUCUUUGGUUUGAACCCUGUUCACCAUUUUUGCUCCUCUUUCCCUUAUGAUGUUGUGUUCCUGUUGAACACAGAUGGUAAUCAAAUCAUUCAAUGUCCAGCAUUCUUUCUGAGCAAUGUAGGUUUCUCUAAGAGACUUGAAAUCCUUUGGCAAUGAGUUUAAGGCAAAAUGCACCAUCAUGUCCUCAUCAACUGUCAUCUCUAGUUCCUGCAAUUUGGUUCCUAUGUCAAUCAUAUUCAGAAUAUGAGCCCUCACACAGCCUUGUCCAUCAUACUUCAUGUCUAUCAACCUGUUCAACAAAGUGCUCUUGACUGCUUUUUCAGAUUCCUUAAACCUUUGUGCAAUUGCCUCAUAGUAUUUCUUAGCAGUUUCUGAUUUUGGAAUGCUACCUUUGACUGAUGAUAUCAUAGCCCUCUGCAUAAUUAGUAUUGCCAUCUUAUUUGCUUUAUUCCAUUUAGCAAACUUAGUUUUAGUUUCUGCAGAGGCAUCUGCAGCAGGCUCUUGAGGAGGAUCCUCUUUUAAAACAAAGUCAUAAUCCAGAAAACCAAGAGAUAUUUCCAGAUCCUGCUUCCAUUUCUGGUAAUUUGAUCCAGUAAGAGUUUCGAUGGUGUUGUGGUUCACUGUAAAGAUUUUUUAUAUAAAAUCAGAUAAGUAAAACUGUCCCCAAAACUUUACUCAAAUAUGUCAGUUUAUACCUGUGGGUUUAAAAAGCCAUAUUCCAAAAUCCCAACCAGCAAACUGUAUAAACUUCCUGCGCAAGAAGUCUCACAUCUGUGGAUGUAGAGAGAACUGCUAGUUUAUGCAGUCUGUUGCUCAGAUUGUUCCAUCAGUAUCGUUAUCAAUCUAUAAGAUUCCCAUCUGUGGAUGGAGAAAAAUACAGAAGGCUACUUAUACUGAUGCAAAUUUUUGAUCAAACUUUCGUUUCAAGAUUUCUCAUACAAACUGAGUAGCUGUGGCUUACUCAGUCUGUGUAGUAAAUCUCAAAACUUGAUCAAAAGCCUUUUGCAGUAUGAUCGAGCAGAAACUUUAUGCUCUUGAUCAUACUUAAAACAAAUAAGAUAUGCAGAACAAUGAAAAUAUCAUGUGACUGUAAUUAGAACAGCAAAAAACUUUAUGCAGAUUCUUACAAAACAUAGAUUAGAUUAAGAAACAAAAGCCUAGAGCUCUGAUACCACAUGUUACUCCAUACCAGGUUUUUAUAUCUCAACACUAACCUUGUUCUGACAUCUUUGGCUGUAGAAGAUCUUCUUCUCUAUGCAACACUUUAGUGCUAAUUCUCCAGAUGGGGUGAGAGCUGUGUGUUUUGCGUUAUUGUUGCUAGAGAAGGGACCAUCUAUAUAUAUGCAUCACUUGAAAGCCUUGCCCAUCAAGGAGCUGUCAAGUGUUCCUAGUUGCAUUAGGAUUAGGUUGUUCAAUCCAUAUAGAAUUAGGAAUUCCAUUGUCUCUUGUAUUUCAAUUAGGAUAGCUUUUAUACAAGGAUAAUCUGAUUAGUUUGAGUAUAUCUCUAAACAUGCAAAACUCUAGAAUCCCUACAUGAUUAGAAGACCACAAUUUCGUGGUUAAGACAAUAAUUUGUCUUACAAUGUUAACUGUGGGGUUCUUUAUUUUGGCUUACCACUACAGAGAAAACAAAACUUCUGACAUUUGAUAUAUGACUUUGAGAUAGCAUAGUGCCACUUUGCUACUGAAUUUACUAUGUUGUAUGCUAGGCUGCCAGCUUAUCGGUUUUGGAGCCAUACAAGGAAAAAGAAAAAUCAUAAUUUUCAUCGGUUUUGCUGGAAGGGGAAUAUUCCACAAAAAAACAGGAGGCCGAUUCAACAAUAUUAGCUUCUGGUUCCUCAUAAAUUGUCAAUGAAACCCAAUGCAACGCAGGCUUCAAAAAAUAAAAAAGCUAUGUCCAGUACU